rnacentral:tRNA from 1 species
AGUCCCUGUAGUAUAUUAAUUAUUCUGGUCUUGUAAGCCAGCGAAGAGG